rnacentral:lncRNA from 1 species
GAUUCGAGAUCUGAUGGUGGAUGAGAUCUGAUUCAGGAUCUAUAUAUGAAUUCUAUAUGAAUCAUUCUAGAUCUGUAUAUACACUCGAAAUCUAAUAGUGGAGGACGCUGCAGUGGACCUCUCUCCGGCCACUCACAACCAUCACUAAAACAUAAUAUCUGGAUCUGUAAGCUCUUUUCAUGGUGGAUGAGCUCGCUAUUGUGUAGGUUGGUUUGAGGUCGUCGGAGCUCAGGUGGUUUGGUCGCUGCUGCGUCAUAGUUCGCUCCAAUUCAUCGAAGCUAGAUAGAGCUCCUUGCCAGAGUUUUUUAAUGGAGUUAACGGAAGAAGACUUGAACUGAAGAAGAAUUUAAGUUUGAUAAUGUCCUUAAUUUUAUACGUUGUUUGAGG